UGGGGAAUAUUGGGCAAUGGGCGCAAGCCUGACCCAGCAAUGCCGCGUGAAGGAAGAAGGCCCUCGGGUUGUAAACUUCUUUUAUCAGGGACGAAGGAAGUGACGGUACCUGAUGAAUAAGCUCCGGCUAACUACGUGCCAGCAGCCGCGGUAAUACGUAGGGAGCAAGCGUUAUCCGGAUUUACUGGGUGUAAAGGGCGCGUAGGCGGGAUGGCAAGUCAGAUGUGAAAAUCCAAGGGCUCAACCCUUGAAACUGCAUUUGAAAACUGUCGUUCUUGAGUACUGGAGAGGUUGACGGAAAUUCCUAGUGUAGCGGUGAAAAUGCGUAGAUAUUAGGAGGAACACCAGUGGCGAAGGCGGUCAAACUGGACAGCAAACUGACGCUGAGGCGCGAAAAGCGUGGGGAGCAAAACAGGAUUAGAUACC
rnacentral:rRNA from 1 species